GUACUAGGAGCAUGUAUUUAUGCGUCAGUUUGUUGCACUGAAUAAGGUGUUUAGUACACCCUAGUACU
rnacentral:tRNA from 1 species